GAUGAACGCUAGCUACAGGCUUAACACAUGCAAGUCGAGGGGUAACAAGAGAAAAGCUUGCUUUUUUUGUUGACGACCGGCGCACGGGUGAGUAACGCGUAUCCAACCUGCCUAUAACUAGGGAAUAACCUUGCGAAAGUAAGACUAAUACCCUAUGAUUUCCUUUGAUGGCAUCAGAUUAGGAAUAAAGAUUUAUCGGUUAUAGAUGGGGAUGCGUCUGAUUAGCUUGUUGGCGGGGUAACGGCCCACCAAGGCAACGAUCAGUAGGGGUUCUGAGAGGAAGGUCCCCCACAUUGGAACUGAGACACGGUCCAAACUCCUACGGGAGGCAGCAGUGAGGAAUAUUGGUCAAUGGGCGGAAGCCUGAACCAGCCAAGUAGCGUGCAGGAUGACGGCCCUAUGGGUUGUAAACUGCUUUUAUACAGGAAUAAAGUUAGCCACGUGUGGUUAUUUGUAGGUACUGUAUGAAUAAGGACCGGCUAAUUCCGUGCCAGCAGCCGCCGUAA
rnacentral:rRNA from 1 species